rnacentral:rRNA from 1 species
UACAGAGGGGGCAAGCGUUGUUCGGAAUUACUGGGCGUAAAGGGCUCGUAGGCGGCCAACUAAGUCGGACGUGAAAUCCCUGGGCUCAACCCAGGAACUGCGUCCGAUACUGGUUGGCUUGAAUCCGGGAGAGGGACGUGGAAUUCCAGGUGUAGCGGUGAAAUGCGUAGAUAUCUGGAGGAACACCGGUGGCGAAGGCGACGUCCUGGACCGGCAUUGACGCUGAGGCGCGAAAGCCAGGGGAGCAAAGCGGG